GACGAACCGUGCGAACGAUGUUCGGAAUCACUGGGCUUAAAGGGUGCGUAGGCGGGUUGUCCAGUCUGGGGUGAAAUCCCACGGCUCAACCGUGGAAUUGCCUCAGAUACUGACGACCUCGAGGGAGGUAGGGGCGGGCGGAACUGUGGGUGGAGCGGUGAAAUGCGUUGAUAACCACAGGAACUCCGGUGGCGAAGGCGGCUCGCUGGACCUCUUCUGACGCUGAGGCACGAAAGCUAGGGGAGCAAACGGG
rnacentral:rRNA from 1 species